rnacentral:rRNA from 1 species
UACGUAGGGGGCGAGCGUUGUCCGGAAUUACUGGGCGUAAAGAGAGCGUAGGCGGCACUACAAGUCUCAUGUGAAAUACCCGGGCUUAACUUGGGGGUUGCAUGGGAAACUGUAGAGCUUGAGUACAGGAGAGGCAAGCGGAAUUCCUAGUGUAGCGGUGAAAUGCAUAGAUAUUAGGAGGAACACCAGUGGCGAAGGCGGCCUGCUGGGCUUUUACUGACGCUGAGGCUCGAAAGUGUGGGGAGCAAACAGG